UCUCGGAGGCUGGACGUUCUGACCUGGCCAGGUGAGCAAAGAGUAGAGAGUUUUAGUUCUCUAGCCCUGACUCCUUGCUCAGCGGGCACAUGGAACUAUGAAUCUCUUCUAUAAGGCAGGUGUUGCUGUGAGAGAUAACUGCGAAUUGCAGAACUGGUGUUGAGAGAUCACUGAUAUGGGGCUGCUAGGAGCCCAAGACAGAGGUAUUGGGAGUCCCUGUCCUGAGAACAAGAUGUAUGGUGUCUGAGACCUCCCAAGAAUCCUCUCUACUUCUGUAGACUCUUCUAGAAACAUUUCUAAUCUCCAUGAAAACUCCCAAAGGACUUCCUAGCCACAGGGGAGCAGUGCUCAUAAAAUGCUUAACAACUGGCUCUCUAGAAAAAGAUCCCUGGAUUCUGGCAUUUGCCCAUUCUAAGGUGUAAAUAUCAUUACUGUGGCUACCAAUGUGAUGUCAUCCAGCUUGCUAAAUACUUGAGAUGUUAACAUCAUUGACUUGAGAACCAGCACCAGUGCCGACCCCAACCGGAGCCCUUUCAGCAGAGUCUCCCUUCUCCCACCCCUACCCAGUUCCACGUUAAUGUCCACACUUUACCGGCACCGUGACAUCCUCUUGCAGCCUUCUGAUUCUCUUCUCUGUGCCUCGUCUCUCAACUCUGCUGUCUCACAGCUUGAACUCUCCCUAUCUCUGGACUGGAUCUCUUGGGUCGCUAAGGGACCCUGUACCUCGGGGCUGCCUCCACCAUCUACCAGAAUGUGACAAGGGAGACAAUAAUGGCCACCAUGCUUGAUACUAAGAGGGCUACACUUCAGAUAUUCAUUAGCACCUGGAAAGACAUCAGCCCACUAUCGAGAGAAUCAGGUGCCUCAUGUGCCAGCCUGAGGAGGAGUAUUUUUCAAGCCCUGGACCCAGCGCUGUGCCAAGGCAGUUCAGGGAGGAGCUGACUGUCUUGGAUAAGGACACUGAAAUCUGAAACGAAAGCCUGGAUAAAUUCAGUCCACUGACUGAAGGAAAAAAUGAGAAAGUUCACAGUGCAGAGUCUGUUCCUGGGAAGGGCUGGACCAGCAGAGGGCACUGGGGCACCAAGGAUAAGUUUGAAAAGUCCUGUGGGCUUGAAACACCAGGAGAAGAAAGGACAGAUAGCGGGGAAAACCCAGAGACGGUUUUUCAGUAAGGAUGUGAAUGAUACAUUUCUUUGUGGUUCUUAGUGAUCACUACAUGACUGAAAUUGGAAGAGGAUAAACUGGUCUCCAUGGCACGCAGGAUCUAUAGCUCACAUUUACAGUGUGCUAAAUAACACUUGGCUUUCAUGAGGCAGGACCCCUGUGGGGCAGCCUAAGCCUAGAAGGAGAAGGAUUUCUAAAUCUCAAAAAAGUAUUGGGUGGCCAGUGACAUUGCUAGUCCUAGCUUCACCUUUUGUUGGAAGCUUGUUUUAGGCCUUGCUGUGGUGAGUUACUUUGGCCUUUGUGCAAGUUCCCUGCAGAAUAUGUGGGCACUUAUUUCCUUAGGUUGAGUCUCUUAUGUAGCUUGCAUUUGUCCAUGUUUAUUUAUAUUCA